AAUGCGUGCCACGGGUCAAAGGCAUAUCGAGCGCGGCUAAGGACAAGACACCACGGACAUUAUUUUUUACGAAAGGGAUUGGCUGCACCCCAGGAUUCCGCAGCCGGCAAGUGUCCUCACGAGGAGUUUGUUCGACAGCGAAGCAACGAAUGGCUUCUCAUAAAACAUGAAGUGAGUAAAUGAAGAACAUAAACAGAAAGAGAACAGGACACACGGGAGGAAGUGCUGCAAACUUCCUCUCCUCCAAAAUCUUUACCCUGGCCUCUACCGAGAGUGGAUCCUUCCCUAGAUGAACUUGCCUGUACCCUCGGUACCUGAGAGCCAGGUUGGGACAGCGGCCGCUAAGGGUGCACACGUAGGGUCUGGAGUUAAACUGGGAGAUGACCA